ensembl:misc_RNA Metazoa_SRP Metazoan signal recognition particle RNA
GCCAGGUGUGGUGGUGUGCUCCUGUCGUCCCAGCUACUUGGGAGGCUGAGGCAGGAGGAUUGCUUGAGCCCAGGAAGUCAAGGUUGCAGUGAGCUGUGUUCAUGCCACUGUACUCCAGCCUGGGCGACAGAGCGAGACCCUGUCUCCA